CGGAUCAGCAUGCCGCGGUGAAUACGUUCCCGGGCCUUGUACGCACCGCCCGUCACACCAUGGGAGUCGGUAACACCCGAAGCCGAUAGUCUAACGAAAGAGGACGUCGUCGAAGGUGGGAUUGAUGACUGGGGUGAAGUCGUAACAAGGUAUC
rnacentral:rRNA from 1 species